rnacentral:lncRNA from 10 species
GUUGGGAGGCGUGAACGCGAGCGUUGGGGGCGCGGGGGCGUGCGCCAGAGAGCGCGCGAGUGUGUGCGCGCGUGUGUGUGCGCAGGGGGAGGGGAGGAGGGGCUUCAGCCCUUCUUACCUCUCGAAGAUGAGCCGCACCAUGAAGAUACAGAAGGCCAGGGGAAAAGCGAGAUAGAGGUCCUCAGCCUGCGGGAAGGUGGCCUCCUCCGUGUUCUUCAGCGCUGUGCUAGCAGGAAGGUCUGUGAAGUUUGCAAUAAAGCCAUUAUGAAGUCAAGAAUGGAGGUUCCAUUUUUAAAGAACUCAGAGGGGGUAGAUCUUGAUUGACAUCUCAUCUGGGGUCACCUGGUCUUCAACUGAGAGAUCUUUUGGUUCGCCACGGAUGCCCCUUGCAGUUAUGGAAGUUCACUCUUUGAGAGAGAGAUAAAUAAACAUUAAAAUGUAAAGAAAAAAAAAAUCAGCAAUGGAAGGAAAAAGGAACAAAAAGCAAUCCAUUGGCGUCAAGCUUGACUGGACCACUCCACUGCUCUGCUGCCGUUAGUGAACCUGACCCUGCAGCAGGAGUCACAGACUCACCACUCACCUCAAGUCCUCACUCCCUGGACCCUCAAUCUACACAUCACUUUGUCUUUUAUUUCCCUGAGAAAUACAGGCCAUCAGUUUGCAGAUCCCUCCUUUCCCCUUACCCUGCAAAUCUCCAUCUAUUUGGAAAAGUGUGCCUCCUACAUUCCAAAGCUAACCCCUCCUCCUCUGCCACUAAUAUCAGCCCUACCUGCCUUCUUCUGUAACUUGCUCCAUUAAUUCCCUCCCCUCUCCCCCAGGUCUCCCUGCCUAUGAACAUAUUCAAGGACAUCAUAUCUUAAAAACAAACAAAUAUCAGGCACAAUGGCUCACACCUGUAAUCCCAGCACUUUGAGAGGUCAAGGCAGGAGAAUCACUUGAAUCCAGGGGUUCAAGACCAGCCUGGGAAACAUAGGGAGACCCUAUCUCUACAAAAAAUAUUUUUUAAAAAAAUUAGCCAGGUGUGGUGGUGUGCACCUGUAGUCCCAACUACUCAGAAGGCUGGGGUGGGAGAAAUAUUUCAGCCCAGGACGUCACUGUGCACAAUUGCUUUACUUUUUUUUCCCUUGGUAUAGACUUGUUGAAGAGUAAGCCUUCAUGUACUGUUUCCUCACUUUACAUUCACUCUCAACUGGAGACAAUAUAGAGUCUUCGCAGAUGCAGCUUUCUCCAGACCAACAAUGUGGUUAGACAUCUGGUUUUUCAUUGUUGUUGUUUGAUUUCUCUGACUAGCUUCCCUGACCAGAGGUCGUUUUGAGUUUCCUUCUCUGGAAUUUGACCACUGAGCAGAGACACAUAGGAGAGAAGACGUGAAUGCUGAGUCAUCAAUCAGCAUCACUGGGAAGAAAAAGCCUCUCAGUUUCUUCUGCUGGGACUCCCAGAGCUGGAGUAUUUUCUGCUCUUCCUAAGGCCUGCACUUCUCCUUGCUGCUGCUGUGUGAAGAAGGAUGUGUUUUCUUCCUCUUCCUCCGUGAUUGGAACAUGCUCUUUUGCCUGCAGCCACAUAAGACAUACCUUUGCU